UUCGGUCUUUUAUGCUUUGUGGCACCACCCGACUUCCAUUCCGAACUCGGCCGUGAAACACAAAAGCGCAGACAAUAGUCUACCGGCAACGGUACGCGAAGAUAUGUCAAGGCCGGAG
rnacentral:rRNA from 1 species